rnacentral:other from 3 species
AGAGUCCUGAUGUGACCGUAAGUUUGCUAACGUUUUGACCGAACAUUUUUGCCUUAGGGAGUCUGAAGUUUCUAAGUGGCGCAAAUGCCUCGUAACAGUGGACUUGUAAAGCUUAGAACAGGACACCCACCUGCUGAGAGCGGGUUCAAAACAGGCAUCCAAACGACGGCACGAUUGGGACAUCU